rnacentral:lncRNA from 1 species
AGAGAGCCACCGGGGCCCGCUCGCGCGCCUCUGAGAGGCUGUCCGCGCGCGCGCGUGUGUGCGUGAGUGUGGAUUUGCCGGGACUGGAGCUGGAAAGUUCAAACUAAACGUGUUGCUCUCGCCGAGUGCCGAGGCCGCGGCGGAGGCUGCCCAACUUCCCCGGGCCAAGUGAGUGGCGUUGCCCAGCGCCUUUGGCGAGGCGGCGGCCGCUCGGCCCUGCGCCCGGCCGCGGCGGCGGCGGCUCCGCUCGCCCCGGGAGGGAGCCCGCGGCCAGGGCUGGACUCUCGCCCCGCCACCUCCACCGACUCUCUCCUCAGCCUCCGCGCCUGGCACCGCAGCAAGACUUGAAUGAAGUGAUCAUGUAAACUAGAGAAAGGAGAUUAAAAAUAACCUCUGGAUAUUCCUCUCAUGUGAUCUUUAUUCUGGAUGAAGCAUUAGGACAGCUAAUAGCCGUGUGUCACUGUUACAAUGUCUUUGAUCCUGUGAAUGGCAAGGAAACAUACAACCUCAGGGGGAAAUUCAGACAGAGAAGAUGCAUACAAUUGAUUUAAUUCAGAUCUUGUUUUUAAUAUGUAUUCACCAUUGGACAAUGCAUGGUUUCUUUAAAUUUAAUUCAGUUGGAACCUGACGGAUGACUUCGGCCUGCUGGCAUGCUCUUUUCGUUUUACCGUUCCGUGCGUGCUCCAUUCCCCAUAGCCAUCAUCUUGAUUUUGUGUUUAUCAAUCCAUUGCUUUUUUAUAAUUUUCCUGGAUAUACAUAUUUAUCUAAAAAAUAUAACGUUUACAUUUGCUUAUUUUGAAAUUUAUUAGAAAAUAUUAUUCUGCAUGUAAACUUUAGAGUCAUUUUUUUGCCCAAUAUUUCGUUCCUCAUAUUUAAUCAUAUUAUUACAGAUAGCUGUAAUUGUUAUUGUUUAACACUUCGCUGUGGGAAAAUGAAACAGUCUAUCUAUUCUCCUGUCCAUGGCGUAUGAUUCCUUCUUGAUAUUAUGAUCAGUGCUGGUUUGAAUAUUUUUAUGUCUUCUAGUGUGUAUGUAAUCAACUAUAUAAUCCUGGAAAAUAAUAAAAUGUUUUAAACUGGUCAUUUUUCUCAUACAUCAACUUCAUUUUGGCUUUGCUCAGAAUGAAUUUCUUAGAAAAAAUAGUUAUAAUUAUUAAGAAAACAUUAGAA